CCUGUGGUACGUUGGAAAAGCAGUCGUCUCGAUUUCCAUUGACCGGGAGAUUUCGAUGAAAUGUUCGGUCAUCAUGAAUAGAAAUUCGAAACCAUGCGAAACUUUCAUAUCGUUGCGUUCGACCAAAAUUUGGGGUUGCGAUGAAUUAAUGUUUGACUUUGUGAUCAUUGACUGGGAGAUUUCGGAUGAAAUGUACAGUCGCCGGUUUGU